CAGUAGCCGCGGUAAAACGAGGGGGGCAAGCGUUGUUCGGAAUUAUUGGGCGUAAAGGGUGCGUAGGCGGCUUGACAAGUCUUGUGUGAAAUCUAUGGGCUCAACCCAUAGUCUGCACGGGAAACUGUCGGGCUUGAGAAUGGGAGAGGUGAGUGGAAUUUCCGGUGUAGCGGUGAAAUGCGUAGAUAUCAGGAGGAACACCUGUGGCGAAAGCGGCUCACUGGACCAUAACUGACGCUGAGGCACGAAAGCUAGGGGAGCAAACAGGAUUAGAGACCCCCGUAGUCCCUGUCUCUUAUAA
rnacentral:rRNA from 1 species